UUUCUCCCUUCUUCUUCACAGCAAAUCCGCUGCUGUAACAUCAGUCAGCAAACCCCUCCCCAGAUCUUUAUCUUCUUCAAGAGACCCCCAUUCCCUUCAAAAGAGAUCAAUCAAAAUCUACACAAAAAAGAAUAAGAGGAACCACACACACAAAAGAGAAAAAUGGUAGAGAGAACGCUUUUUGUUUCUUCUUCAAAAAAAUAUCGGCCAUACAGACACUGAAGACAGAAUACGAGAACUGAAAGAAGAGCACAAAAAAAGAGAACGUUUGAAAAAAAGAGCAAAAAUCUUCAUCUUCUUCAAUAGGAAAAUCCACCAUCAAAGCUCCAUAGCUAUGGCAACAACUUAACCCACCAUACAACACAGUAACGCCACCUUAUCUCCUCCUUAAACCACUGGCUGAAACUGACCCAACUAGAAUAAAAGAGCUUUAGUCAAGGUAUGAAAUUUCAUUCUAUGUUUUCGGCACGAGUCUUGGUCAUGAUUUGUUUGUGCGAGAGCUUAGCAGUCCUUCAUUCUUUAUGUAUUGAAGAUUAUAUUUGAGCUAUUUAAAAGGUGUGGAUCUACUUACCGGAGUUUGGGCAUGACAGACGCCUUAGGACCAUCCAGUCAAGAACGCUCAUUCAGGAGUUUGUUUAAGGAUUUUUUUUAAUGUUAUGUUUUGAGUUUUUUUAUGUCGUCUUUACCUUCUAGUUUUGUAUAAUAAUACCAAGUCUUUUAGGUGACAUUAGAGUCUGUCAUAGGCUAGUUAAGUUUGUUGAGUCUUUCGUUAUGGUAUUUCCUAUUUUGUAUUUGAAAAAAAAAAGUGUAAUAAAUCAAAAAAAAAGAUUUUGCGUUUU